rnacentral:misc_RNA from 1 species
UGGGCUAGAAUGCCUCUGACAACCCCAGAGAUGGGGCCUCUUAGGGAAACCUAGGCAGAGUGCAAGGUGCUGCAUGGCUGUCGUCAGCUCGUGUCGUGAGAUGUUGGGUUAAGUCCCGCAACGAGCGCAACCCUUAUCUUUAGUUGCUAGCGGUUCGGCCGAGCACUCUAGAGAGACUGCCGUUGACAAAACGGAGGAAGGUGGGGAUGACGUCUGCGUAACAGAA